rnacentral:misc_RNA from 1 species
CUGAAACCGAUUGACAUUUUUUGUACAACUAAUUAGUUGGUUUAGCUACAUUUUGAGGAGUUCACUUGGUUUUAUUCAGUUUAAGAUGGUGAAUUCGGGGUUGAAGUCAAGGAAGGUGAGCUUCAGAAUCCCAUACUAUACUCAGUGGGGGCAGAACGUUCUCAUCUGUGGUUCAGAUCGGUUGCUUGGUUCAUGGAAUGUGAAAAAGGGUCUAUUAUUGAAGCCUUCUCACCAAGGGGAAGAGCUUAUAUGGUCUGGAAGCAUUCCAGUUCCUCCUGGAUAUCAAAGUGAGUACAGUUACUAUGUGGUGGAUGAUAGAAGAAAUAUCCUGCGAUGGGAGGUUGGAAAGAAAAGGAAACUGUUGCUUCCUGAUGGAUUUCAGGAUGGGCAAUCACUAGAACUUCAUGAUCUCUGGCAGACUGGUUCUGACAAUAUCCCUUUUAGAAGUGCAUUUAAGGAUGUCAUCUUUCGGACAAGUUGGAGUUUGGGCGGUGAAAGGCCCUUGGAGAUCACUCAGAAUAAGCUGGACCAGGAUGGUUCAGUUAAUCUGCAAUUUAGAAUUUGCUGCCCCUAUUUAGAGGAAGGAACAUCUAUUUAUGUGCUUGGCAGCUCCUUAAAUCUUGGGCAAUGGAAGAUUCAGGAUGGCCUUAAGCUUGCAUAUGCUGGGGAUUCAUUAUGGCAGGCAGCCUGCGUUAUGGGAAAAGAUGACUUCCCUUUAAAAUACAAGUACUGCAAACAUAGUAAGGCUGGAACAUCAGUGGAAUGUGGUGCCAGUCGCGAGAUUUCUGUUGAUGUCACAAUAGGUGAAUCUAAAUUUGUAGUUCUUUCAGAUGGCUUAAUGCGGGAAAUGCCAUGGAGGGGAGCAGGUGUCUCAAUACCCAUGUUUUCCGUACGGUCAGAGGCUGAUCUUGGAGUUGGGGAGUUUCUUGACCUGAAGUUACUUGUAGAUUGGGCCGUUGAAUCUGGCUUUCAUUUGGUUCAGCUUUUGCCCAUCAAUGAUACAUCAGUCAACUGUAUGUGGUGGGAUUCGUACCCUUAUAGCUCUCUCUCAGUAUUUGCCUUGCACCCAUUGUACCUACGGGUAGAGGCCAUUUCAGCGAACAUUCCAGAGGAUAUCAAGCAAGAGAUCAGGGAGGCAAGAGUUCAGUUGGAUAAAAAGGAUGUAGAUUAUGAAGCUUGCAUGGCUACAAAACUUUCUAUUGCCAAGAAAAUUUUCGCUCGGGAGAAGGAGACAAUACUAAACUCAAAAUCAUUCCAGGAGUUCUUCUCUGAAAAUCAGGAAUGGUUGAAACCCUAUGCUGCUUUCUGUUUUCUGCGGAACUUCUUCGAAACAUCCGAGCGCAGUCAAUGGGGCCGGUUUUCUGAAUUUUCAAAAGAAAAGCUUGAGAAGCUACUCUCUAAAGAAAGCUUGCACUAUGAAGUUGUUAGUUUUUAUUACUACAUCCAGUUCCAUUUGCAUCUACAAUUAUCAGAAGCUGCGGAAUAUGCACGAAAGAAAGGUGUAGUGCUGAAAGGUGACCUGCCCAUUGGUGUUGACAGGAAUAGUGUCGAUACCUGGGUCUACCCAAAUUUGUUUCGCAUGAACACCUCAACUGGGGCCCCCCCUGACUAUUUUGAUAAAAACGGCCAGAAUUGGGGAUUCCCCACUUAUAAUUGGGAAGAAAUGUCAAAAGAUAACUAUGGUUGGUGGCGUGCUCGUCUAACACAGAUGGGGAAGUACUUUACAGCUUAUAGGAUUGAUCACAUAUUGGGAUUCUUCAGAAUAUGGGAGCUCCCAGAACAUGCAAUGACUGGCCUUUGUGGAAAAUUUCGACCUUCUAUUCCUAUUAGUCAGGAAGAACUCGAGUCAGAAGGAUUAUGGGACUUCAACCGUCUUACCCAUCCUUAUAUUGGACAAGAUCUUUUACAGGAAAAAUUCGGAGCUUCUUGGACUAUAAUUGCCUCUACCUUUUUGAAUGAAUAUCAGAAGGGCUUUUACGAGUUCAAGGACAAAUGCAAUACUGAGAAGAAAAUUGCAUCUGCGCUGAAGUCAGUCUUGGAAACAUCCAUGUUUUUAGAGAGUGAAGUGAAACUACGACGAAAACUCUUUGAUCUUCUGCAGAAUGUGGCGCUUAUUAACGAUCCAGAAGAUCCAAGAAAGUUUUACCCUCGCUUCAAUGUUGAAGACACAACAAGCUUUAUGGAUUUGGAUCAGCACAGUCAAAAUGUCCUAAAAAGAUUAUACUAUGAUUACUACUUCCAUCGACAAGAAGGUCUUUGGCGUGACAAUGCCUUUAAGACUCUGCCUGUUCUUUUGAACUCAUCAGACAUGCUCGCUUGUGGGGAAGACCUAGGCCUAAUUCCCUCCUGUGUUCAUCCUGUUAUGCAAGAACUGGGCUUAGUAGGCCUACGCAUUCAACGCAUGCCAAGUGAACCUGAUCUAGAAUUUGAUAUUCCUUCUCAAUACAACUACAUGACGGUUUGUGCUCCAUCAUGCCAUGACUGUUCUACUCUACGUGCUUGGUGGGAGGAAGAUGAAGAGAGAAGGCACCGCUUUUUUCAAGCAGUGAUGGGAUCUGAUGAGUUGCCACCUGAUCAAUGCACUCCUGAAAUUGUGCACUUUGUCUUGCGACAGCAUGUUGAAGCCCCAUCAAUGUGGUCAAUAUUUCCCCUCCAGGAUUUGCUAGCACUUAAAGAAGAUUACACGACACGGCCUGCAGUGGAAGAGACUAUCAAUGAUCCAACAAACCCAAAACAUUAUUGGCGAUAUCGUGUACACGUGACAAUGGAGUCCUUGCUUAAUGAUAAAGACCUCACAAAAACAAUAAAGGAUCUCGUCCAUGGGAGUGGAAGGUUUUACCCUCAGAAAGAUCUGGAAUCAGGUCACACAAUUGGUGAAGGAUCAGCAAAGCUGCAGCUACAGAGUGAACACCCUUCACAAACACAGAAAAAUGGACUCUCCAACAAAUAAGCCGUGGCAUUUGUAUGACUAUAAAACAAUUUCCGUCUUUUAGAUGCUCAGGUCAAAGACGAAACAAAUAAAUCCUCCAUGGCCUAGUCCGUCAUGUGGUUCAAUAGCUUGUCUUGCUUCAUCAUUAAACUGGAUUUGAAGCUAUAUUUCAUCAAAGAAAUAAAGGAAUCAUUGUAUGUUACUCUUUUGAUUCUCUUCAAGUGAUGAAACUUGGUCAAAGAUCAAGCCCGG